GACGAACGCUGGCGGCGUGCUUAACACAUGCAAGUCGAACGAAGAGCGAUGGAAGCUUGCUUCUAUCAAUCUUAGUGGCGAACGGGUGAGUAACGCGUAAUCAACCUGCCCUUCAGAGGGGGACAACAGUUGGAAACGACUGCUAAUACCGCAUACGAUCUAAUCUCGGCAUCGAGGAUAGAUGAAAGGUGGCCUCUACAUGUAAGCUAUCACUGAAGGAGGGGAUUGCGUCUGAUUAGCUAGUUGGAGGGGUAACGGCCCACCAAGGCGAUGAUCAGUAGCCGGUCUGAGAGGAUGAACGGCCACAUUGGGACUGAGACACGGCCCAGACUCCUACGGGAGGCAGCAGUGGGGAAUCUUCCGCAAUGGACGAAAGUCUGACGGAGCAACGCCGCGUAAGUGAUGACGGCCUUCGGGUUGUAAAGCUCUGUUAAUCGGGACGAAAGGCCUUCUUGCGAAUAGUGAGAAGGAUUGACGGUACCGGAAUAGAAAGCCACGGCUAACUACGUG
rnacentral:rRNA from 1 species